rnacentral:rRNA from 1 species
AACGACUCUCGGCAACGGAUAUCUCGGCUCUAGCAUCGAUGAAGAACGUAGCGAAAUGCGAUACUUGGUGUGAAUUGCAGAAUCCCGCGAACCAUCAAUUCUUUGAACGCAAGUUGCGCCCGAAGCCGUCCGGCAGAGGGCACGCCUGGCUGGGUGUCGUGA